UAGCCGUAAACGAUACUCGCUAGGUGUCGGCCACGGUGCGACCGUUGUCGGUGCCGUAGGGAAGCCGUGAAGCGAGCCACCUGGGAAGUACGGCCGCAAGGCUGAAACUUAAAGGAAUUGGCGGGGGAGCACCACAACGGGUGGAGCUUGCGGUUAAUUGGAUUCAACGCCGGAAAUCUUUACCGGGACCGACAGCAACAUGAAGGCCAGGCUGAAGACUUUGCCGGAUUAGCUGAGAGGAGGUGCAUGGCGUCAGUGACU
rnacentral:rRNA from 1 species